rnacentral:tRNA from 1 species
UAUAGCUCAGUGGUAGAGCACGUGCUUAGCAUGCACCACAAGGUCCUGGGUUCAAUCCCCAGUA